rnacentral:rRNA from 1 species
CCCUUAGAUGUUCUGGGCUGCACGCGUGCUGCACUGAUUAUUUCAACAAGUGUUUUAACUGGAGAGUUCGCGUAAUCCUGAAAUGUUAUCGUGAUGGGAGUAGAGUAUUGUAUUUGUUAAUCUUUAACGAGGAAUUCCUAGCAAGUGUAGGUUUAUAAGUUGUUCUGAUCACGUCCCUGCCCUUUGUACACACCGCCCGUCGCUCCUACCGAUUGAUUGAUCCGGUGAAUUACAUAGAAUUUUGCGUUUUACAUGACGGAAGACGAAGUGUUUUAAACCUUAUCAUUUAGAGGAAGGAGAAGUCGUAACA